GACGAACGCUGGCGGCGUGCCUAAUACAUGCAAGUAGAACGCACAGUUUAUACCGUGGCUUGCUACACCAUAGACUGUGAGUUGCGAACGGGUGAGUAACGCGUAGGUAACCUGCCUGGUAGCGGGGGAUAACUAUUGGAAACGAUAGCUAAUACCGCAUAAUAUUAAUUAUUGCAUGAUAAUUAAUUGAAAGGUGCAAUUGCACCACUACCAGAUGGACCUGCGUUGUAUUAGCUAGUAGGUGAGGUAACGGCUCACCUAGGCGACGAUACAUAGCCGACCUGAGAGGGUGAUCGGCCACACUGGGACUGAGACACGGCCCAGACUCCUACGGGAGGCAGCAGUAGGGAAUCUUCGGCAAUGGACGAAAGUCUGACCGAGCAACGCCGCGUGAGUGAAGAAGGUUUUCGGAUCGUAAGGCUCUGUUGUAAGAGAAGAACGGGUGUGAGAGUGGAAAGUUCACACUGUGACGGUAUCUUACCAGAAAGGGACGGCUAACUACGUG
rnacentral:rRNA from 1 species